ACACGUAGGGGCCUGACGUUGUUCGGAAUCAUUGGGCGUAAAGGGCGCGCAGGCGGCCGUCCAAGUCCGGUGUUAAAUGGUCGGGCUCAACCCGAUCAUGCGCUGGAAACUGGGCGGCUUGAGUCCCGUAGGGGAUGCCGGAAUUCCAGGUGUAGGGGUGAAAUCUGUAGAUAUCUGGAAGAACACCGAUGGCGAAGGCAGGCAUCUGGACGGAGACUGACGCUGAGGCGCGAAGGCGCGGGGAGCGAACAGGUUUAGAUACCCUGGUAGUCCGCGCAGUAAACGAUGCGCACCAGGUGUCGGGCGGCAGCGCCCGGUACCGGAGCUAACGCGAUGAGUGCGCCGCCUGGGGAGUAUGCCCGCAAGGGUGAAACUCAAAGGAAUUGACGGGG
rnacentral:rRNA from 1 species